rnacentral:sRNA from 1 species
AUAGCAGGAGCUGGAAGGCGGGGACUGCCAGCCAUUAGGUGAUCAUAUCAGGGAAAUUCAAACAUAGAGAAGAGUUUCAUUUCCCUCCGUGCUUUGGGAUUUCUCACUGAACCCAGAACUCAGAUUCUACCAAACAGCUGUCCAGUGAGCUCGUGGCAUUCACCUGCCUGUGUCCCCAGUUAAGACUACAGGAGUACCACCACAGCCACAUUUUAAUGUGGGUCCUCAUGCAUGCACAGAAAGACUAAGCUGGACCUGAUGACACAGUCCUAUAACCUGAGUACUUGAGAUUUGGAGGUGGGAGAAUUUUGAAUUCAAGACCACCCUGGGCUCCACAUCAAGACUGUGUGGUAGGUAUUUUUGUGUCACUGUGACAAAAAACUGAGAGAAGCAACCUAAGGGAGGAAGUGCUCACUUAGGCACCCAGUUUCACAGUGCUUCAGCACACGCAGAAGAUGGAGGCAGGAGAUGCUCGCAUCCUGGCUGGCCUGGUACUUGCUAUGGAGACCAGACUGAUCUUACAUA